rnacentral:rRNA from 1 species
AACGAACGCUGGCGGCGUGCUUAACACAUGCAAGUCGAACGCGAAAGGGACUUCGGUCCCGAGUAGAGUGGCGCACGGGUGAGUAACGCGUAAGUAAUCUACCCCCGCACUCGGAAUAACUCGUCGAAAGGUGAGCUAAUACCGGAUACGUUUAUCUUGAUGCGAAUGAUGAUAAAGAAAGGUGGCCUCUUCAUGAAAGCUACUGUGCAGGGAUGAGCUUGCGUACCAUUAGCUAGUUGGUAGGGUAAUGGCCCACCAAGGCGACGAUGGUUAGCGGGUCUGAGAGGAUGUUCCGCCACACUGGAACUGGAACACGGACCAGACUCCUACGGGAGGCAGCAGUGAGGAAUAUUGCGCAAUGGGGGCAACCCUGACGCAGCGACGCCGCGUGGAUGAUGAAGGCCCUUGGGUCGUAAAAUCCUGUCAGAUGGAAAGAAAUGUAUGGGUGUUAAUAUCGCCUGUAUUUGACGGUACCAUCAAAGGAAGCACCGGCUAACUCCGUGCCAGCCGCCGCAGUAAAAC